rnacentral:rRNA from 1 species
GACGGAGGAUGCAAGUGUUAUCCGGAAUCACUGGGCGUAAAGCGUCUGUAGGUGGUUUAAAAAGUCUACUGUUAAAAAUUGAAGCUUAGCUUCAAAGAUGCCGUAGAAACUUUUAAACUUGAGGAUGGUAGGGGUAGAGGGAAUUUCCAGUGGAGCGGUGAAAUGCGUAGAUCUUGGAAAGACCACCAAUGGCGAAGGCACUCUACUGGGCCAUGACUGACACUAAGAGACGAAAGCUAGGGGAGCAAAUGGG